GUCGAGCACAUGGAGACUUUCCUCGACCUAUAUUUAAGAUUCAUCUACAAGUUGGCUAUUCAAAAGUGAUUCAUCGAGUCAUAAUUAAAUACAAAGUAGCCAAAUCAACACACCAACACGACAAACCGUAGGGGUCAUGCCGAACCCUAGUUUAUCAUCAACAUGAAGAAUUUACUCGACCUAUAUUGAAUAUUCAUCAGCAAGUCGACC
rnacentral:lncRNA from 1 species